CUCAUGGUUCNUNCAUGACAGUCGUGCRRRGUUGCYAGGAGCUUGCUCCAGCAGGUUAGCGGCGGACGGGUGAGUAACACGUGGGCAACCUGCCYGUAAGACUGGGAUAACUCCGGGAAACCGGASCUAAUACCGGAUAGUAUCUUGAACCGCAUGGUUCAAGUUGGAAAGACGGUUUCGGCUGUCACUUACMGAUGGGCCCGCGGCGCAUUAGCUAGUUGGUGAGGUAAUGGCUCACCAAGGCAACGAUGCGUAGCCGACCUGAGAGGGUGAUCGGCCACACUGGGACUGAGACACGGCCCAGACUCCUACGGGAGGCAGCASUAKGGAAUCUUCCGCAAUGGACGAAAGUCUGACGGAGCAACGCCGCGUGAGUGAUGAAGGUUUUCGGAUCGUAAAACUCUGUUGUUAGGGAAGAACAAGUGCKAGAGUAACUGCUCGCACCUUGACGGUACCUAACCAGAAAGCCWCGGCUAACUACGUGCCAGCANCCGCGGNAAUACGUAGGUGGCAAGCGUUGUCCGGAAUUAUUGGGCGUAAAGCGCGCGCAGGCGGUUUCUUAAUUCUGAUGUGAAAGCCCCCGGCUCAACCGGGGAGGGUCAUUGRAAACUGGGAAACUUGAGUGCAGAA
rnacentral:rRNA from 1 species